AUUAUCCUCAUAAGUUAGACGAAAAGAGGGACCGCAUAUUAAAUUAUAUUCUCUCUCCCUUUCGGGGGUAUUGAUAAUAUAAAUAAUAAGGCGGUGGCACAGAAUCGGAGGCCCCGACUGUUUACUAAAAACACAACACAGUGCAAUCAUUAAUAUGAUAGUAUACUGUGUGAAAUUUGCCCGAUGCCAUUAAUAUAAGAGCGGUCAUGGGGAACUGUGACUAAUCGAAAAUCUGGUUAAUAGCGGUCUUAACUAUGAGGAUCCUAAGGUAGCAAAAUAAAUUGGCCAUUAAAUGUGGUCCGGUAUCAAUAAUGUAACGAUGGCCUCACUGUCUCUACAACUUGCUCAGUGAAAUUGAAUUACGCGUGCA
rnacentral:rRNA from 1 species